GAAUGGAGUCAGCGAUCAACGGCGCGACGAAGGACUUCAUCCGUGGGUUUGGUGGCAAGCAUCGGCUAGGCGUCUGCUAUCAGGAUGCAGUCAAGAUGGAAGAACUCGGACAACAGAGACUCUUACCAGGAGGACUUUGAUUUGGAUACACAGUUGC